GCUAUUGUGGUGAAUCAUAGUAACUAAUCGCGAUCGCAUGGGCUAGGUCCCGCGACAAACCAUUCAAGUUUCUGCCCCAUCAGCUUUCGACGGUAGUGUAUUGGACUACCGUGGCUUUUACGGGUAACGGAGGAUUAGGGUUCGAUUCCGGAGAGGGAGCCUGAGAAACGGCUACCACAUCUAAGGAAGGCAGCAGGCGCGUAAAUUACCCAAUUCUGAUUCAGAGAGGUAGUG
rnacentral:rRNA from 1 species